ensembl:lncRNA novel transcript
GCAGCACACCAGCAUGGCACAUGUAUACAUAUGUAACUAACCUGCACAUUGUGCACAUGUACCCUAAAACUUAAAGUAUAAGAAAAAAAAAUACAUGAUCUAUUAAAAAAAAAAAAGAAAACGUCAUUGGGUCUGGUGCUUCGGAAAAUUGGGAUCUGAAUAAUUUUUUAUUUUAUCUGUCACCUAUCAACUUCCCCAUCACAGGACAUACUGCAGAGAUGUGAUGGUCCAGCAGAAGCGCAGCCUUCCCCUUAUGCAUUCACAUGCUGGAGCUGGAAAAAAGCUGGAGGAAUCCAACCCAUUCAAGUUAUGAGGAAGAACCAACUCUUUUCAGUCCACCCAGCUGGUGAGAAGCAGGUGAUACCACUGGUGGAUGCAUGGCUGGAUGAAAACUCUAGAAACCAACAACCUCAGUGACUGAAGGAAGAUGAGUUGGACAAGAAAAAGUGAAAGAGGGUAAGAAAAGCUAAAAGGUGACCAAGAGAUGCUUUUAGAAAAACAAAGGUUGGCCGGGCACAGUGGCUCACGCCUGUAAUCCCAGCACGUUGGGAGGCUGAGGCUGGCUGAUCAUCUGAGAUCAGGAGUUUGAGAUCAGCUGGGCCAACAAAGUGAAACCCCGUCUCUAUUAAAAACACAGAAAAAAAAAUUAGCCAGGCAUGGUGUUGAGCAUCUGUAAUCCCAGGUACUUGGGAGGCUGAGGCAGGAGAAUUGCUUAAACCCAGGAGGCGGAGGUUGCUGUGAGCCGAGAUUGCGCCAUCGCACUCCAGCCUGGACAACAAGAGCGAAACUCCGUCCCCAAAAAAAGAAAAACAAAGGUUAAAAAAGACGUUGCUCAGCUAUUCCACACCUGCAGGGAGUACAAAGCAUGGCAGAUGGGUUUCAAAGGUAGCAAGAAACAAUUUUAUUAAACCAGACGGGAGUAGUAAGAGAAGCUUCUAAAAGCAUAGUCUUACACAGGGCCAUGGCAUAGAUUUGUGACUACUUCAAUGUAAUUGAAAUUUAGGAGCUUUGUAAUUUGGGUUCUAAAAUUUAAUAAAAUGGGAAGCCCAACAGUUCUUUAAUUUCAUUUUAAUAAAGGAAUCUUCAUUUUAUCUACCAUGCUGUCUUCCUCCCUCCCAACUGUGAUUACUGGUAGUCAGAACUAGCACCAGGCUAGCAUAAAAUUGAAGGAGACCCUCACCCAGGCACCAGCACUGCAUUUGCGGGGGCCCUGAAGUGAAGGCCUCCUUAAAUAUUGCACCCAGGGCUCCUGACCCUCUGCAAUGGAAGUGUGGUGAUUUCAUUUUCCUAAAAGCAGAACUUUUUGGUGUUUUAGAUGAGGUCAAUCACUUUAUCCUUCUCUUUCUGACCU